rnacentral:rRNA from 1 species
AUUGAACGCUGGCGGCAUGCUUUACACAUGCAAGUCGAACGGUAACAGGCCGCAAGGUGCUGACGAGUGGCGAACGGGUGAGUAAUGCAUCGGAACGUGCCCAGUCGUGGGGGAUAACUACUCGAAAGAGUAGCUAAUACCGCAUACGAUCUAUGGAUGAAAGCGGGGGACCGUAAGGCCUCGCGCGAUUGGAGCGGCCGAUGUCAGAUGAGGUAGUUGGUGGGGUAAAGGCUCACCAAGCCAACGAUCUGUAGCUGGUCUGAGAGGAGGACCAGCGACACUAGGACUGAGCCACGGCCCAGACUCCUACGGGAGGCAGCAGUGGGGAAUUUUGGACAAUGGGCGCAAGCCUGAUCCAGCAAUGCCGCGUGCAGGAAGAAGGCCUUCGGGUUGUAAACUGCUUUUGUACGGAACGAAACGGCUCUGGUUAAUACCCGGGGCUAAUGACGGUACCGUAAGAAUAAGCACCGGCUAACUACGUG